rnacentral:lncRNA from 1 species
ACGUCUUCUUCUUCGCACCCCAUCACCCCCUGAAACCAACGACCCCAAUCUCCAAAUCUCCAUAGCUGCAGACCUAACCCCAUCGGACCUCCAUCUCGUCGACACCCCUAAACACCCAGCAGCAGCCAUAAACGGACCCCUCCCAGUCCUUCAUCUUCUUCAACAUCAGAAAACCAAGGAACCCAUCUUCUUCGCGAUAAACCUGAAGUAGCUAAACAGAGCUCGACCAGCCGACAACAUUCACUCCAAACGGAAAACAAGUCGAGAACAGUAAAGAAAACAAAAUAAGUAAAAGCUGAAAACAGUACGGGUCUAAAAGCUCAUUUCGAGUUCUUUUCCGGCGAGAUCUUCGGUCCGUCGAGGUUGCUGGUCUGAGGUCCAUUCGUGGGUGACCUUGUUUUAAACGUGAAUGAUUUGAAGCUAUACGAUCUGUUUAAUCAGGUUGGUCGCAACUCAUUUGAAUUCUCAAAGCAUUGAAUUUGCAUUUUUCAUAAGUUCUGUUAUGUCGCUUCUAAUCCGUUUGAAUUUUCAUUUUUAUAAGUGCUAUUAUGUCGUCUCUGUGCACAACCAUCUUUACAUAUAUGGGUAAAACUUUUAUAAGUACAAUCGCCAAAUGAUUCUUUGCUUGAGUUUUCCGUAUUUAAAUCAUGUUGGCGAGUCGUUACUCGUAUUUGAAGUUGGGAUAUUACAGUGGAUGGAUGUUUUGGUUUUGGUUUGCACUCAAAGGAAAUUGACUGAUUUCAAAUAGCUAUUUUGUGACUUUAUAUUUAGAUAGUCGAUUAGUUUUUUUAUCAAAAUUAGCCUCCCGGGUGCAAAAUUUGAAAGGUAUCGCUACAUUUUGUUGAUCUUCUGAAGGAGAAGUCUUAUUCUAUUGCUAAAUCGUAUAUGGUAGUAUUGAGUAUUGGUGAUAAUUGUGAAGAUAUGUUAAGAGAUAGCGCAUUAGUAUUUGUGAAAUUUGAUUGUGCUCGAUUGUUAUAGUUGAAUACAAAUCCCUGCUUUAAAGAAAUCGAGGCGCGCCGUGCCGAGCAAAAUCCCAAAAUGCAUGGCCCUCGCUUAGUUAAUAUUUUAAUCCUUAGAAUUCGAGGCGUGCCAUUUAGCGAAUAAUCUAUGGCCCUCGCAUUAAUAUUAACUUAGUAUAAAAUAACCUUAAACACUCGUAGUUUGCUUUAGGCUUAACUUAGACUACUAUUGUGACUGUGUAUACGUUCGCGUAACAUAGUUGCGAAUUUAAUUCUAAAAGUAACUCGAGGUAUGCGUUAGCGCAACUUCAGCCAAAUCCUCCUAAUAAUUAACAAAGCGUCAUUAAUCGUGGACAUGUUCGCGUGACAUGAUUUUUAACGCGCCAAAGGAAAAGAGUAUACGUACGCGUAAUUCAAUUCUUUAAUUACGAAUAAUCAAGUGAUUGAAAAACGGUUAAUAGACAAAUGCAUAUAGGAUCUAAAAUCAGUAAUUAAAUAAUUUUAAUAAGCCAAGUAUGAUCAAAGCGACCGUGCUAGAACCACGGAACUUGGGAGUGCCUAACACCUUCUCCCGGGUUAACAGAAUUCCUUACUCGGAUUUUUGGUUCGCGGACUAUUAAACAGAGUCAAUCUUUCCUCGAUUCGGGAUUCUAAACUGGUGACUUGGGACACCAUAAAUCUCCUAAGUGGCGACUCUGAAUCUUUAAAUGAAAUAAUCCUGUUUCGAUUGUCCUUUAAUUGGAAAAACUCCCUUGUAUUUAUACCCUUCCAGGGGUGUAGGUAAAAAGGAGGUGUGACAGCUCUGGCAACUCUACUGGGGAUCGAACCCAGAAUCUCUGGUUUAGGGUUCAGAAUUCGAGCUUAUUAAUAUGAUUUUGCUUGACUUUAUUUAUUGUUGAUAUUACUAUAUUCUGUGAACCUUUUUGUGCUAAGUACUAUCUGUUUAUCGCUUUAAUAUUGUCUGGAUUGUAUAUAAUUGUCUUCUUACGCCACCCAUCUGAGUCUUCUGAAAAUGGUGCAUACGUUCGCGUAGCCCACUUUUUCUGUAGAAAUUAUACCAAAUAGAACGAGGCUGGGCAAGCGACAAGGUCGGAUACACUUUAGUGCUCCCGGUACGUCACCCCCUCCUUGUCCCCAGUUGUCCGCUCGGUUACCCCAAGUCUAGACCAAAACUGCAGGGUUUAAACCUAGAAAAACAUAGCCUCAUGCCGGAUCCCUAGUAGGAACGUUUGUUUGCAUCAUGUUCAUUUUGACUUUGGAGACUCAACACAGGGGUUGGGUCUGUCUAGGACAGGUGCACCUGAAAUGAAAAGACCAUCUUGAUGCAUCCUAUGUGCUACAUGUUGCAUUUAUUCAAAGGGUAAAAGGGUCAUUUGACGGACCAAUGAUAGUUGAGGGCAAGUGAAAAAAUGAAAAAAAAAAUGAAAAAAGGGAAAAAGAGAGGGUGAAGUGUGAGGAUAAAGCGAGCGGGGCCUAAUUAGGUUUUCUGUUACAUUUUUGUUUAAAAAAAAAAGAAAAGAUCUUGAAAAUUGAAAAGAUUUUGCACUUUUUAUCAUUUUUCAAAAAUAAAAAAAAAAUCAAAAAAAAAAAGAGAAAAGAAAAUCCAAAAAGAUUUUAUAUGUUUCAUCAUUAUUCGAAAAAAAGAAGGAAAAAAUGUGUUUUCUUUAUGUGAGUUGUUUUUAUUAUUCUCGCCCGUAUCCAAUCUGCCCGAACUACGCAUACCUGAUUCUCGUUUUUCGGGGCGUGAUACGUAGGCAACCCACAUAGGGUCUAGUCUUCCUAGUAAAUCUUAUGUUCUUGGCUUUGCGGGGUCUUAGCCAAAUUUUGCACUUCUAGCCACCUUUUAGCCAAAUAAGCCAUCUUACAAAAAUAGCCUUAAUCAUGUCUUGCAUGUGUCUUAGGGAAUGUUAUUGUCUCACAUAGUGUUGGUUUAGGCUUUCUUAUACAGGUGUGGAUUUAUUUACCGAAGUUUGAGCAUGACAGACACCGUGUGACCAUCCGGUCAGGAUUGCAUUCUGGAGUUGCUUAAGGAGAAUUAUAUAUUUAAUUAUUUUUAUUUUAUUUUAAUGUUUUUUUAUCUCGUCUUUUACUUUCUAGUUUUGUACAGUAAUGUCAAGUAUUUUGUUAUUGUAUUUUCUGCUUUAUGUGUGAAAAUGUGUUGUAAC